GGAUCAGAUCUGGAUCAGCUCUGGGAUCAGGUCUGGAUCAGAUCUGGAUCAGGUCUGGAUCAGGUCUUGGUUUCCAGCUCGUAAAGAGCAGGAGGAAGAAUCUUCCACUGGAGAGAUUUCACAGUUGCCAAAACAAGCUUUGCUCUGUUGUGAUAAAGUCUAAAGGGUUUUAUUGAAUGUUCUGUUGCUGUGAGCAGAUGAUUUAUCACAGGGGAUUCAUGUACUGUACAUCCAUCAAACACUCGACGUUAAGUCUUAUAAUCAGUCGCUGAAUAAUCCACAGAAUAAAUAGAAGAACCGAUCAUGUAUUCGACACUACAGGCAGCUUGGAGACGUGAUGGUUAUCAGCUGUCUCUGGAACAGUAUUAUUCUUCUCUCUCACAGUCCUCAUGUGAAAUAGUUGUAGUUUAAUCUUGAAUGCCUGCUGAAAUCAAACCCCAUUCUCAUGAAAUAUCAGAAUAUCAGGAGUAUGAUGUCGGCCAUCUUUCAUCGCCCUCCCUGUAGUCACUCCCAUCCACUCACGUCACAUGGUCACAUGUUGUUUUGGGAAAAGCAAUAAAGAAAACCAAACCAGCUGCUUCGCCCCGACAGAACCUGCACUUUAAACUUGUGUAUUUAUAUCUUUGUUUUGGCAACUGAACAAAUCUUAAAUCACCUUUAAUCUGAAAUGAGAGCAGAGAGUUUAACUUUGACAAAUGUGAUGCUGAUGUAAAUUGUGUAAAUGUGCGGUGAAAAGCCUGCUGAGCACAAAGCAGUGUUGUUGUUGUUGUUGUUGUUUGUAUAUACAGUAUAAACUGUCCAGAAACGGCCUGUACUCACAUUUUUGUACUUUUCUGACCAGGAGGAAAUUUAUUUUUAUGUGACUUCUUUUCAGGUUUGUUGAGAUUUGGAUGUAACAUACCCUUUUGUAACUCUUUGUGAGCGUUUUGUGUAAUUUGUUGUACAGCAGCUCAAAUUUACAUGCAUGAAAUGUCCCUUUAAUGUCGCCUUAACUGCUGUGAAUACUGUAUAUACUGUACUGUACUUCUCAUCACUUUAUCAGUAAAGACCUCAUCUGUCAAAACAAA